GCGAAAAGAAGGCAGGAAGUGGUAAAUUAGUAUGUGAAUGCUUGGAUUGUGAUUCAGAAGCAAACAAAACUAACUGAUAAAAACCCAUACUACUAACUAUACGAUAAGGUCGGCGAAUCUGACAACUAAGAACUUGUUAGCCCUAGUUGUGUUUCGUAAUACACAACGAAAGGGGGAUUUUAUAAAACAGUUGAGGGUUGUUAUGGUUUUGCAUCAGAAACUUGCGUUCUCUGAUCACAAACACAUAUUUGAAACUUUAAAGCUUGCUCACGACAAGUACUUAUGUAUGACGCAAAUAUAAACGUUAUAGUUGGUAUUUCCUGCAUGGGAUUUGCGAUAAUGUUAAUGAGAAAUGUAAAAUAUAAUGAUAGAACCUCUUAAGUAACGACAUUAUUAUUUGGUAUCACAUACUUUAAAAAGAUUUUUUAAUAUUUAUAUUUGGUUUGCAUUCAUGCUAAUUCAUUUCAAAAACUGACCACCUUAAGACGUAUCUAGCUGCCAGACAUUUGGUUAUGAACGCAGAAUAAGUUUAUAAGAUGAAUCGAUCUAAAUGUCUAAUUAUUAAAGAAAUUUCCACUCACGUUACUAAAAAUGUCUUUCCAAACUAAAAUAUCUGUAUUUCAAUCAUUCAAAUGAUACCCUCGCAGAGUGUUUCAAAAAUCAUUCUUCAAAACUUUAUCAAAAGUUUCCCAAGGGGGAAUCCAUAUCGGUGUAAAUAAUGGUGUUUGUUCCUCGGCCGAUUUGCUUUUUAGCUUUGCGGUCAUUAGCAACAUCCGGUUGGUGGUGAGCCAUGUAAACACAUGUUUACAACACCAUCACCAAUGAGCCAGAAGAAUAACAAUCGCAGAAGACACUGGAACUGGAAAGCACCAGAGAACACAGCUUGAUUAACAGGCCCAUAACAGGCUGUUAAACUGUUCAGCUGAACCAGCAAUCACAGCAAGCCAUUGUUGUUGCUACAGCAAAUGCAUGCGGGUGGAUGAGAGAAAGAGAAGGCUGCAUUCACAACCUACAUAUGUGUUCCAUAUAGAUAAAAAAAAAAGUCUGCCACAUUAAUGCAACUCACAAGCUCUUAUCGCUGAUGUUGCUGCACACACAAAAAAAUGAGAAAUAUAUAAAAAAAACAAAACGAACGGAACAAGUAAGUGAGUCAGAGUUUUAAAAAGAAUGCAAGACACCCAGGCUGCAGCUGCAACAAAUGUUGCUGCAAUGCUGGGCGAGUUUUUCACGUUGUUCUUGCUUUUGUAACGUUUGUACUUUUGUGGUUUUGGCUCGACAUAUGCUGCCAUAUGCAGCUCAAUUAUAUACUAUAUGUAUAUUUAUACGUCGGUUUGUGUGGGGCAACAAAUGUUACAUGCAGCGAAUGCACAAAAAACAAUAAAGAGCAAGGCCUACCGAGAGAGUAACUCCAACUCCGCUCAUUUUGAUUUCGCCCACCCCCUCUCACACUUUACUCACUCUCUUUCUCUCUCACUAGCUACUUCUCCGUCUCUCUCGCUCUCGUUGUGCCAUCAGACUUCCUCUCUAUUGUUGUUGCUGUUUAAUAUCGGGGUUGGGGUGCAACAUAACACACACACACACACAUCCAAAUGCAAUGAAGUUUCGUCACGUAGACAAAAAAGAGACAAAAAGAAAAGCCUAUGAACGAACGGCGUUGCCACCUGAUGGGUGGUUUUCCCAAUAGGAAAUCCCGUUUCAAUUGGGAUCUCUCAACAACGAGGUGGUAGCGCAUGCCUGUUGCUCUGAAAACUGCGGUUUCAAAUUUCCAAAACCGACAAAAACACCUUCAUGCCUCAUUAGAUUCAGGUCAAGAAAAAGGAAGAACCGGCCAUUACCGGGAACCACUCAAACUGCCAUCUGCUACAUUGAAACAUCGAGUUACAAUCAGAGGUGUUUAUGAAAAGUGUAGUAUUUCGUCAAACAUAAAAGUGAAAAUAAUAUACUUCUCAUCGGCACACAGUAUUUCAAUACAGUUUAAAAGUUUGCUAAGUUCUACUGUAUGCCAACGUUUUGCGACAUGUUUUGUAAUUGAAAAUCGAGUUAAUCCUUUUUCAUGGUCAAGUUCUGUACUCAUCCUAAGCUUUUCGAAUUGUUUUCUAACCCUCCGCUUUUUUUGUGGUUCUCCUGCUAGCCAGCUGCCGCAAUCGUGAUUAUCCUGUUGCUGCAGCUAAUGGCCUGAAGUCGGAGCGGAAUCAGGAUAGCGAAGCAACCCCUAUGCUAUACAAACAUAUUUUUUUCGACAACUUGAGCGUGCUUUGCAUUCGGAAAUCGCUUCCUGGACACAUUUCAAUUUUAUUUCCAUUGUGCGACAAAUUCAAUUCAAUAAAAGGAGCCCGGCUAAGUUCAGGCAGCCGGAAGCAAAACACCAACUAUAAAUAUUAUAUUAGCGUGUCUGCGCUCGAAUGACUGCUUGCUCACUCCUACCCCUUCGCGAUUUACCCUCUCUUUCUGGCAAACAAUGCUGUGGGUUAAUGGUCGUAUAAAGGGUUGUCCUUGUCCCCUUUGCGGAAAGAAUUCGCAUAAGCGACGAAAAUAUCCAAGCAAACAACAAGCAAGUCGCCAAAUAAACGAUAGAAUUAUUCAAAUUGAAUAAAGCGUUAUUUUUUUUGUAACUGCCUGAGGAAACGCAGUCGUCGAGGAAUCAAGAGGAAUUGCUCAGAUUUCAACGAAUAAACAAAACGUCUGGUAUAUCCUUUAUUGAAUUAAGGCCUUAAGUGGCAAACGGAAUGUCUAGCACAGGGGAAACUACAACUUUCUACUUAUCUAGGGGAUAAUUGGGCGAUCAAAGGGAAUGUAUGGAUAGGAUUUCGUUUAAUCCACUGCUGAACGAAAAACCAUGACGCGCUUGCCAAUUAAAA
rnacentral:sRNA from 1 species